UACGUAGGGGGCAAGCGUUGUCCGGAUUUAUUGGGCGUAAAGAGCUCGUAGGCGGUCUGUCGCGUCGGCUGUGAAAUCCCGAGGCUCAACCUCGGGUCUGCAGUCGAUACGGGCAAACUAGAGUAUUGCAGGGGAGACUGGAAUUCCUGGUGUAGCGGUGAAAUGCGCAGAUAUCAGGAGGAACACCGGUGGCGAAGGCGGGUCUCUGGGCAAUAACUGACGCUGAGGCGCGAAAGCUAGGGGAGCAAACGGG
rnacentral:rRNA from 1 species